UACAGAGGGGGCAAGCGUUGUUCGGAAUUACUGGGCGUAAAGGGCGCGUAGGCGGCCUGCUAAGUCGAACGUGAAAUCCCCGAGCUCAACUCGGGAACUGCGUCCGAUACUGGCAGGCUUGAAUCCGGGAGAGGGAUGCGGAAUUCCAGGUGUAGCGGUGAAAUGCGUAGAGAUUAGGAAGAACACCAGUGGCGAAGGCGACUUACUGGACUGUAACUGACGCUGAGGCAUGAAAGCGUGGGGAGCAAACAGG
rnacentral:rRNA from 1 species